rnacentral:lncRNA from 1 species
AAAUUUUUGAAACUUUUAAUAUAUACAAUGUCUUCGACGUUUAACAAUUCAAACUUUCUUUAGGCUAAGAUAAAGCAACUUGAGUAUCAUAUUUUGGUCGUACGGGAGCAACUUAAAAGGAAUUGUGUCUCGUAUAGUGUCGAGUAUUGGAAAUUAUGCGAUGAACUUGAACUUUUUGAAACAAGUCUUGCAACUUUAAAAGCACAUUACGAG